GAUGAACGCUGGCGGCGUGCCUAAUACAUGCAAGUCGAGCGAACAGACGAGGAGCUUGCUCCUCUGACGUUAGCGGCGGACGGGUGAGUAACACGUGGAUAACCUACCUAUAAGACUGGGAUAACUUCGGGAAACCGGAGCUAAUACCGGAUAAUAUAUUGAACCGCAUGGUUCAAUAGUGAAAGACGGUUUUGCUGUCACUUAUAGAUGGAUCCGCGCCGCAUUAGCUAGUUGGUAAGGUAACGGCUUACCAAGGCAACGAUGCGUAGCCGACCUGAGAGGGUGAUCGGCCACACUGGAACUGAGACACGGUCCAGACUCCUACGGGAGGCAGCAGUAGGGAAUCUUCCGCAAUGGGCGAAAGCUUGACCGAGCAACGCCGCGUGAGUGAUGAAGGUCUUCGGAUCGUAAAACUCUGUUAUUAGGGAAGAACAAAUGUGUAAGUAACUAUGCACGUCUUGACGGUACCUAAUCAGAAAGCCACGGCUAACUACGU
rnacentral:rRNA from 1 species